rnacentral:lncRNA from 1 species
AAAGGAGAGUUUGAAUAUAUAAUCUCAGGUUUGCUAUAAUUAGUUCUGAUGACAGACCUAAAUACCUUGGCCCAAACUGUAAAUCAGUAGUUAAACAGGUUUCUGCAACUGAUCAUAAAUCUCAAACUCCGUAUUUUAAAUGUGCUAAUUUUUUUUAGAGAGACAGCUAAGGAAGGAGCAGGCCAAGGACAGGAAUAAAAUGUUACUUGAACUUUAGUUAACAGCUUAAAACUUCAUCUUUAAAACGUACCGAGUUCCCUGAUGCCUUUUGUCUAAAAUGUUAUCUUGUAAAUAUUGUAAUAACUUAGCUUAUUCUUCACUCUGAUAAGACAAGUUUGAACUUCGUUC